AAAAUUUCAUCAAACUAAAUCUUGUACUUACCCCAAAAAAAAAAUUUCUUGUACUUACAUUUUAAUCUCUUCAACUAACCUUGUAUUGAAACGUUUCAAUAGACGGAGAAGAGACUAAUUGAAUAACUUUGACGAUCAUGAGAACAUAAUAAUACUGAUAUUUAGAUCUGAUUAAAAACUUUAAACAUAUGCAACUUGAGAUGACUUUCUCUCAGGCAAAAAAACACUUGAGAUGAUUUUCUAUUAGUUAAUCAUAUAAGCAAACGAAAACAUUCCUUUCAACUUUUGUUUUGUUUUGAUAAAGAAAAACGACAUGCCGGGGGAAGCAGUUGUAGUUGGUGAUCCGAUCUCGCCGGGGGAAGGGACCAAACUCCAUUCCUAUGUAACGAAGCGACAGUUGCAUUCAAUGGGAUCCCAAACCUAGAUAGUGAGGCUUGAAGGUAGUCGUGCAGGCAGCCAAAGGGACUCCAAUUAUCAUACCAAAACCUUGCUGUGGCUCCAUUCUGUAACUGCAAGCGAAUCAAUGGGAUACCCAGACAGAGUCAGGGCGAAAGAAGAUCAUCCAUAUUAAGCGCAUGCAACAUGACUUAUUCCAAGACUGUUGAUUCUCUUUUCAAAGUCAUUGAUCUUCAGACCAGGAACAGGAUACAGAGUUUCAGAGACUCCAAUCCCUCCCUCUCGUCAAAGAUGAUGCAACUAUGGUUCUCGUAACUUCCGUCCGACUUCUCCUGCGACACUCCUCCAUCAAUUGGGCCUCUCUUCCUCUCAUCAUGGGCUCCACUUAUAACUUCCUUUGGGUUUCAGAUUUGGUUCUUUAUUUUGCAAAUUAUUAUUGGGCUUGGCUCUUUAUCCAUGGUUUCAUGCCUGUAAACAUUUUUAUUUUUUAGUAGUUAAUGAAAGCCUUUUUUUUCAAAAAAAAAAGAAAAA